ACGCACCUCACACAAUUUUUUCUUCACUUUCUUUGCAUGUGUUGCUGUGAACUCGUCGGCUGUUGCUCCUUCUUCUGAAAGUCGUCCGUCGAACGUCGCUCCAUCGCCGAGCGUUGUUCUUCUUCAGCUUGGUCAAGGUCGCUCCGUCACGUCGUUUCGAGCGUUCUUCUUCAGCGGACGUUCUAGUCAUUCCAAACUUCUUCAGUCGAACGAUGAAGGUCAAGCGUUGUUCUAUUCGUCGCUCCUAAAUAGUUAUAUUCGUCGGCUGAGCGUUGUUCUUCUUCAGCUCAUUCCGAGUGUUCUUCUUCAGCUUGGUCAAGCGUGCUUCUUCAGUCGAAUGUUGCUUUUUGCUCCGUAGCUGAAAGCUUUCAGGUCUUGUACCAAUAUCCGAUCGAUCUACUGUAGUAAUGAAGCUACCAAGAAAGUGAUUGAUGUUUGGUUAGUGACAAGACUUGUUGUAGUUACGUUAUUCACGACAAUACCUUGUUGUAUUUAGUUUCUUUGUAAAAAUAUAUUACCAAGAUUUAGUUUCUAUUUUGUUUGUAUUUGUCCCUUUAGUGAAAUUCGAUAGAUUUCGUGUACUCAGUUUCUUUGUAAAAACGUUUUCUAUGUUAUUGUUAUAUAUGAAAGUUCUAAUA